rnacentral:lncRNA from 1 species
AAUUUGUUCUCAUUUGUAUAGUAUGAUUUAAAAAUGUUUGUGUUAUCUUCCUCCAGGUGUAAAGAACCAUCAUCUGCAGAAACUCAGAGCAUUUAUUUAACUUCCUUGGAUUUUCUCAGGAAGACAAGGACCUGUUGGAUACAUUUUCAUAAGAUCAUGCGUUUUCUCUUGUUCUUAACCACCUGGAUUUCCAUCUGGAUGUUGCUGUGAUGAGUCUGAAAUACAGUAAAGUAUUCUCUUCCUUGUUGUUUCUGAAGCAUUCUAAUCAUGCCCAUUAAAUGAAGGAGGAAAAAGAAAAAUGAAACCUUUAAAAAUAAAAGUCUGUGGAAUCUCUUCUCAGCUCAAAACACACUGGCUCAUUUUUCAACCAAGGUAAAAAAAAUUUGUUCUUGAUAAUGUUGGCAAGUUCCUAUUCAGUAGGAUUCCCCUGCCCCAACAACAACAAAAGAAUCCCUUUCCCUCAACUUUUCUGUCUCUCCAUUUCUGUCUUCC